UGGGAAUGGCUUUGCCAUUGGGAUGUUCACAGCCGUGCCCCAGAUCUUGGGAAAGCUUUUGAUUGGACCUGCCUGCUCCAGCCCCUCUGUCUGCGCCAUGAGAAGCGGUCCCCACCCUGGGCGGGGGUCCCCCACGGAACACGCGGGACGUGUAGAGCAGGCCACCCAGAAAAGCCACUCUAAGAUCCGCUGAUGUCGGGCUUGUGAGAAACCCCCUUUGUGUGUUGUUUGCGGCUACUGGGUUUUGGCGACUCCAUUACGGGACUUAAAUGAGUUGUCAACCCAACGGGUGUCAGGAUGGACGUGGCGCUUCUCCGGUGCCCCGUCCAGUCCGUUUUCCUUUCAUGCCUCCACUCGGGGAAUGCCACCUUUAAAUGUCGGAUUCAGGCACAGAGAGGAAAAGGGAUGACGGAGGAGUGCCGCGAGGCGUAUUAUCUGCAGCGCCCUGGCUUGUUCAGUUAACCACACCCUGCUUCCUUCCCCUGCCCAGGGCUGUUCUGGUUCCUGAGACAGGAGAGAAAGCCGGGAGGGCCAGGCCGGGGAUGAACUAGCCGCUGGGGAGUGAAAGCCGCACACUUCUUGGAACUCAGGAGCCCGUGAAGGGCCGGAAUGGAGAGCAGGCGAGACAAUUGGGAGAAAUGCCCUGGGGAAGGCGCUGCAGCCUCCCCUGCAGCUGGGCGCCCAGUUCAUGGUACCUUGUUUAGCAGCCCAAACGGACCAAGGCAGAUGAUGCGCUCCCAGCGACCGCGUGGACACCCACGGGAAGGCUAUGCAGCUUCCACAUAAAACACGGAGCUGCCUCUCCUUAGCAGCCCUCCUCACAGUUGCAGACAUCUGGAACCCGCUCCAAUUCUCACUGGCAAGGGAACGAAUGAAUACACGGUGUUGUGGUCAUACAACGGAAUACUACACACCAGGGAAAAUUCUACCAUCUACAGUCACGCAAAAAAUGCAGCAGCAUGGGUCUUCACACAGAACACCAGGGGAAGUAUGCGAACUGUGCGAUAUAACUCACACCGAAUGAUCACACUUGUAUAAAGUCCCAAAACAGGUAAUAUACCAAGUUACAAGUCAGGAGCGUAGACAGAUGCCUCUGCGUGGACAGUGCCCGGAAGGCCUCCUAAGCUGUGCUCCUCCAAUGCUGGUCCCUGGACCAAGGGGAUCCAUAUUUGGACCUGAAAGAGGACUGAGCAUCUUCUGGAAAUCCUGAACAUUGAGCUGGAUGGGACCUUGGUUGUCUCUCCUGGUAAGGCUCUUUUAACUUGCUACGUGAGACCAAGGUAGAAGCAGUGUCCUGGAAAUGAAAAGCAGGUGCCUGGGACGCAAAGGAGGCUUUGAUUGGAGGUGGCUUCAAAGAGUGCUCUGCACAAAUGAUGCCCUGUUCUCUGCCCUGCUUUCUGUCCUCACAUUUAAACACUGAAUGCUUGGGUGGCACCUCUCGACCCAGAUAUGCCUUGACACAUGGGAAGGUGGCUCUUCAAAGUUACCGGGUCAAAAACAUCCAAUUCAAGGAGUGUCUGACACUGUUCUUUUAUUCAAUAUCGUUUUGGUGAAUUGAAUUGGUAAAGAAAGAAAAUAAUACUCAUGGACUUGAAUCCAAUCAGCUCUGUAUUGCAGCAAAAUAACUUUCCAGUUAAUCCGUUACCAUUUUGUGUGCUUGCCUCUGCCUGGAUUUGGCCAUAGACUUUACAAUCAGGGAUUUGGGGGGUUAUAUUUUAAUUAUGGCCAUAAAAUUAUUUAGUUUUUGGUUUUAGGAAAUAAAAAUAGCUUCAAGGUGAGUUUUGGCUGUCUCGACCUUUCAUGUGAGCUGUCCAAGGGAAAUAGACAACUUUCUGGAUUCACCUUAACAUCAUUCCUACUAGUCGUUAGCAUCUUUAGCAGACUUUCCUGAAACUUUGAAGUCAGUGUGUGUUUGUGCACACACACGUGUGUCUCUGUGUACAGACUGUGUCACAUUACUGUGGAGCAACAAUGCAAUUUAAAACAAAAAAUUGUGGCAGUUCUGGUUGUGGGUAAAAUGGAGUAAGCACACUCCACCCUGUCUCUCCCACUGAAGAAAGAAAGAAAAAAAAAAAACCACAGGCAGGAUGUAUGGAACAGCCAUUUGAUGAUUCAGAAAAGUAAACAGUAGCAGGCAGAUUGGAAAAUAAAUGUCAGUAUUAAAAGUACUGAAUACCGAAUUCAAUAUCACCUGCAGGCAUUGAGUUCCCCACUCUGGACUCCUGCACCCUGAACUCAGUACAUCCUGGAACCCCAAAGUGUCCACCUGAGUACAGACAGAGAGAACCCCAGGAGCACCGUCUAGUUAGACAAGGUGCUUAUGGAAACUCAGAAGGGUGAUGAAAUUGUUCACUUCCCCUUUUCUCUUUACGCUGUUCUCCCAUGCUCCCAAGCAAUACAGUGGUGGCAAGACAGCAGCUGCCACAGGAGUCCCUAGGAGCCAAAACUACCUAGGAGGGAUGCCUUCCUCUCCUGUGAAAGAAACUGUGCUCUCAGGAGGGUGGGGAAAACCCUCUUUGCUUUUCUUCUCUUUGUCUGCUCCUCCUGCUUGGCUUAAUCUGUGAGAGCAGUUGCAGGAAUGGGUGGUGGAGUGGGAUAACUGGCUGAGGAAUAAAGAGAAAGCUGAAAUGUACCAAGAAGCUUGUGGAGAGGCAGGAGCUUGGGAAAGUGACCUCAGGGCUGUUUGUCAAUGCCUGGACUCCUACUCAAGACGUGCCUAUGUAUAUCUGAUCUUAAAUGGUAUAUGUAGAUAUUGAGAACUGAGCUGUAAAAUAGUCUAUUCUUCAAAUAUCAGACUUGCUACUGGGUGCUGAACACAUGGAAUACAUUAAAUAGCUUUGCAAAAUUUUUGAAAAUGAAACUGAUCCUUGAGCCACAACCAACCAAAACCUGUUGGAACUGCAGGCCUGAAUUCAGCUGAGGCAAUUGCUAACGAAAACAAAAACAUCAACAUUUUUGAUGUUUAAAUAGGAUUUAAACACAACUCAGCUUAUCAUAAUGAAAUAUGCAGAACAUCCAGGAUAUAGCCCAAAAUUACUCAGUAUAAAAAGAACCAAGAAAAUCACAAUUUACAAGAAAAUAAACAACAGAUGGCAAUACUAUCAUGAAGCAGAUGUUGGACAUAUCUAACAAAAGCUGUAAAACAGCUAUUAUAAAUAUGCCCCAACAAGUAAGCAUAAACAUUCUUGAAACAAAUGGAAAAGAGGCAACCACAACAAAGAACCAGAAGAUAUAAAGAAGAACCAGAUAACAAUUUUAUAACUUAAAACGAUGAUAACCCAAGUUAUCCACUAAGUAGGAUCAAUAGGAGGCUGGAGAUGACCAAGAAUAGAGUAAUAGAAAUUAACCAAUGUGAAAAAGAGAGGAAAAAAAGAUUAAAAAGAAAAGACAUCUACAACCAAAAACAUGAUGAUAAAAAUGCCAACAUUUAAGAAUAAUAGAAAAAUAUUGAUAGCAUCCAGAGAAGAUGCAUGCAUUUCUUUUGGAAUAACAACAAUUUUAUUAACUGUGGAUUUAUAUUCAUAAAUUAUGAAAGGCAGAGGGAGGUGAAACAACAUGUUUAAAGUGCUGAAGAAGAGAACUAUUUAUGAAAAAUGUAAAUACAGUGAAAAUAUCAUUCAAGAAUAAGGUGAAAUCAAGCUAUCCUAAGGUGAAGGAAAACUGAGACUUUAUUUCUUGCAAACUUACUUUAAAAGAAUUUAUAAAGAAAGUUCUUCAGAAAAAAAAAUAAUGCCAGAAGAAAACUUGGAAACUCAGGAAUGAAAAAUUGGCAAUGAAAAUGAUAACUAACUGGCAAGAUACAAUAGACUAUUUUUUCUACUGAGUUAUUUAAACUAGGUUUGACAAUCAAAAGCAAAGUGGUACCAUUUUCUGAUAAGGGUUUCAAUGUAUGUAGAUGUAAUAGUAAGAUGAUUACAACAUAAAGGGGUGAGAGGAAAGAGACCUGUAUAUUAACAAGAUUUCCCCUUUCCACUUUAAGUGGCAAUUUUAAUAUCAGAUAAAUUAUACUUCACAACAAAGAAAACUCCCAGAGAUAAAGAGGAACAAAACAUAAUAAAAUAUCAACCCACCAAGAAUAUAUAACAUCAUAAACUUGAAUGCACCUAAUAAUAGGUCUUAAAAAUGCAUAAAGCAAAAACUGACAGAAAUGAAAUAAGAAAUAUACUGAUUUGGCUGGGCACUGUGACUCACACCUUUAAUCUCAGCACUUUAGGAGGCCAAGGUGGGCAGAUCACCUGAGGUCGGGAGUUCGAAACCAGCCUGACCAACAUGGAGAAACCCUGUCUCUACUAAAAAUACAAAAUUAGCCAUACAUGGUGGUGCAUGCCUGUAAUCCCAGCUACUCUGGAGGCUGAGGCAGGAGAAUCACCUGAACCCAGAAGGCAGAGGUUGCAAUGAGUGGAGAUGGUGCCAUUGCACUCCAGCCUGGGCAACAAGAGUAAAACUCCAUCUCAAAAAAAAAAACAAAAAAAAGAAAGAAAUAGACUGAUUCACACCGUUGGAGACUUCAAUACUCUUCUGUCAGUGGCAAAUAGUGCUAGUAAACAGAAGCUAAGUGAGCUCUAGAAGAAUGUAAAAACUCCAUCAACCAACUGAAUCUAAUUGUUAUGUAUAGAAUACUUCACUACUGGUGGCAGAAUAAACAUACUUUAAAGGGCACAAGGUGCAAAAUAAGCCAAAUCCUGGAUCAGAAAAAAUAAAUGUAUUUUUAAUUUAUCACAAAAUAGAUUUUAUUUAUCACAAAGCAUCUUCUGUAUCCAUAAUGGAAUUAGGCUAGAAAUGAAUAACGUAAGGUAAUAUGAAACUCAUCAAACACAUAAAAAUUAAAGCACGUAUUAUUAAAGAAACCAUGAGUCACAGAGGAAAACUUUUGAGAAAUUAAAAAAAUUGUGAACUGAAUGAAAAUUAAAAUGCAACACAUAAAAAAAUUAAAUGCAACACAUGAAUUAAAAUGCAACACAUAAAACUGUGUGGGAAGCAGCCAAAGCAGUGGCUUAGAGUAAAAUGUAUAGCACUGAAAGCUGACAUUACAUAAGAAUGGGCAAAAAUCAAUAAUUUAAGUUUUCACCUCAUUUUAGAAAAGUAAAAUUAGCAAUGUUAUUACCAUUAAAAUCAGCACACAAGCAUAAUUUUAAAUUAUUACUACUAAUUUUUUGUUCAAAAUUGUUUUUUCAUAUAACAUCCUGUAAACACAUAUCUAUGAACUCUGUGUAGACAUGCUUCCUUGGAUUUUACGGUUUGGCUUCUCAGAUUUCACUGCAUUCAUAUGAACUUCUGAGAAAUAGGACAGACCAGUUAACAGUUUUCUCAACUACAAAAAAGGAUUUUGAACAAUUUUUAGAGUCACUUAUUGAUAAAAUAAUAUAUAGGUAUGUCUUGUGA
rnacentral:lncRNA from 10 species